rnacentral:sRNA from 1 species
GGGUUUCAAGAAGGGGAGAAAAACUGUGAAUAAUAUAUCUGUCAAAACUCCUCCAUCUGCACUUGUCUUGGCAGAACGAUCACUUCUGCAGCAGUGAUCUCGAAGUUUGGAACUUGCGAAGCACUUAAUAAGUCAUGUGGGUGCUGUGGAAGCAUUUUGGAAGAUGAGGCACAACGUGAACAAUGAGAGUCAACAUGUGACUUGGUAACUCAUGUCUUCUGUCACGUGUGUGCUCUUUGUCAUGAGUGUCGUGGGCUCCGUCCCAGGUUACCUCAUCCUGGCUGUAAUGCUCAACCGGUACUGGUUAUGAUUCCCCCAGCCGAACAGACCAUGGGACGUGAAGCUUGAAGAUUCUCCAUCAUCUUGGAAGUGCUAUUCUUGUGUAUGUCACUGAUGCCUCUAUAAUUUGAUGUUGAACCAUGUUAUGACUUCAUCUAAAAUGGGUCCUGGCUUUUUCAUUUUCUUUUUAUAAAUAAGAACAUUAAACCUAUUAAUUCUGUUUGCCUCCCUUUUAUUUUGUAUUAUAUAUAGAUUUGAAUCAUAUGAGAGAAUUUUUCUCCCAAUAACUAUGUCUAUGGGUAACUAGUAUUUAGUUAAUGA